rnacentral:rRNA from 1 species
UACGUAGGGGGCGAGCGUUGUCCGGAGUUACUGGGCGUAAAGGGCGUGCAGGCGGUGCAGCAAGUUUGGAGUGACAGUCCCCGGCUUAACUGGGGAAGGCCUCUGAAAACUGCUGGACUUGAGGGCCAGAGAGGGACAUAGAAUUCCGGGUGGAGUGGUGAAAUGCGUAGAUAUCCGGAGGAAUACCAAAGGCGAAGGCAGUGUCCUGGGCCUGCACUGACGCUCAUGCACGAAAGCGUGGGGAGCGAACGGG